rnacentral:rRNA from 1 species
AUUGAACGCUGGCGGCAUGCCUUACACAUGCAAGUCGAACGGCAGCACGGGAGCAAUCCUGGUGGCGAGUGGCGAACGGGUGAGUAAUGUAUCGGAACGUGCCCAGUCGUGGGGGAUAACGUAGCGAAAGCUACGCUAAUACCGCAUACGAUCUAUGGAUGAAAGCGGGGGAUCGCAAGACCUCGCGCGAUUGGAGCGGCCGAUAUCAGAUUAGGUAGUUGGUGGGGUAAAGGCUCACCAAGCCGACGAUCUGUAGCUGGUCUGAGAGGACGACCAGCCACACUGGGACUGAGACACGGCCCAGACUCCUAUGGGAGGCAGCAGUGGGGAAUUUUGGACAAUGGGCGCAAGCCUGAUCCAGCAAUGCCGCGUGCAGGAUGAAGGCCUUCGGGUUGUAACCUGCUUUUGUACGGAACGAAACGGCGAGCUCUAAUACAGUUUGCUAAUGACGGUACCGUAAGAAUAAGCACCGGCUAACUACGUGCCAGCCGCCGCGGUAA